ACAUAAAGAAUUCAAUCGACGAGGUUUCUGUUUUCAACAGAAGGAAGAAGUAGGCAGAGGCAUCGAUUCCAGCGAAGCUCGUGAUGGCAGAGAUUUUGGCGAGUCGGUGGAGACUCCCUAGCUUGAAUGACUGAUAUACCAUGUAUUUUACCCACUUUUAGCCAUGGUAUAUAGGUAUUUUCAAAUACAUUAUAGUUGUUUUGGAGUCUUUCUAGUAUGAUUUCAGGUUUUGGAGUGAUUUGGAGGAAAAUAGUGAUUUUGAUGCAUUUUGGAGAUAAAAUGAUAAAGACCCGAAGUUGACCAUCGACCACGACUAUCGAUCGAUGGGCGAACGCAACAAUCGAUCGACACACACUAUGUGGUAUCGAUCGAAGGCGAAGCGUGCAGAAACAGGAUUGAGUUCCAGCAGCCUACUUAAAGCCCAAGUCCCACAAAAAUUACCAGAUUACCCCUGGCGAGUUUUAACCUAAUAUUUAUGUGCUCUGCCAUUGUUCUAGGCAACACACGCUUUCAUACUUUCUACUUUUCAUACAGCAAAAUACUUAGAGUCUUAGAUUUGGAGAGAAGAUCCAAGAACUCCUUCAGAACUUUGUGAUUGGAACUCCAGUUCCUCUACUCUAUCUUAUUUAUGCAGUUUACUUAUGUUAUUGUCAUGAAUUGCUUAGCCAUGUCUAAGUAGUUUAUCUUGUUAGAUUUAGGGUUCAAAUAUUCAUGAGGAAUUAGCCCAAA
rnacentral:lncRNA from 1 species